ACUCAGCUCAUCAUCUCUCUAGGG
rnacentral:miRNA from 1 species